CAACUACUCCCUCUGUCCCAAAUUUCUUGUCUUAGAUCUGUCUAGAUACAGAUGUAUCUAAUACUAAAAUGUGACUUGAUACAUCCGUAUCUAGACAAAUCCAAGAGAAGAAUUUUGGGACGGAGGGAGUACUUU
rnacentral:pre_miRNA from 1 species